GCUACAAAGUCUUCAUAAUUGCUUUGGUUUCUAACAUGGCAACCUAGCAAGUCUUUCCUGCCUUCAAAAGAGUUGUUUCAAUAAUGAAAAUGGACAAAAAUGCUACUGAGAGCCAGCACCCACCAUAUUUUUACUAAGCAACCUUCAGGUGACAAGAGCUUCUGUUGAGAGAAUUUAACUUUGAAGAUCCACCUGACUUUGGGCUGACAGACCCUCACAAUCAGAGGAUAUUUCCACACAGCCAAAUUCAAGGCCAAAAAAAUAAACAAAGGAGUGAUAUGUGGAAUUUUAACAUGAACUGCUGAAACCUGGAACUGAUUGACCUCAAAAAGGGCUGAGGGUACUAAUACAAAUCUAAGAGCAUUUGGAGCACAUCAGUCCUUGGAUCACACUCUUAAUAAAUGUUGUGCUUAGUCUGAACACCUGGAAUUUUUUCAGCUUGAAAAGAAUUGCCAAAGGCAAGUUAAUCUAGUUAACCUAGGCUUAGUUAACCUAGGUGGAGCCUUAGGCGACACUUCUCUGAGUUACCUGCGAACAACACACAAGGAUCAAAAGAACUUAUUUCUGCUUCUUACUGCUGUGGAUAUGGGACAGAAUAAAGAAGAAGUGUCUAAGUGUA